GCUGCGAUGGCCGAGAGGUUAAGGCGGACUCUCGAAUCCAAUGGGGUUUCCUCACAAGAGGUUUGAACCCUGCUCGCAGCG
rnacentral:tRNA from 1 species